rnacentral:lncRNA from 1 species
GAUCUGUUAAACUCACUUUACAGAAACCCUGUCAAGACUGAAUGCAACCAUUCCAGGAACCCAGGCUGCCUGGGCACCAAUACCACACACUCUUCUGAUGAUGGUGAGGAUCCGUGUCAUUUCAGUCUACCAAAUGAGUUGCAGAGGAGUUUUAAAUAGUAGGAAAUCCAUGCCGGGUGAGGUCACAGUCCAAAGGAAGGGGAAACAUUCACAGUUGCUCUGGGAGAGGAGGAAGCUGUUAUGCAGAGAGGCCAAGACCUGACGUAGAGCAGAGCAUAAACUCCAAUCAGGCCAGGCUAAGCAGGAUGUGACUCAGCCUGCUGCUCCUUUGGCUGGAAGGGCAGUCUGGCUUUUCUCUCGACCUGGGUCAAGCAAGUUGAAGGCUCAGACAAGACUGAGGUAGGUGGGAACGCUUAUGGACCCCUUCUGCCCCCUCCACUCUCAUUUAUGCAUAUUUCCCCCUGGCCCGAGCAAGACAGGAGGGUGUUUCAUCUUAGAGGAUCCAGCCAGAGGCAGACGACACAAAAAAUCACAGGGAUGACUAUGCACAUAUUUUCUCCUCCCCCCCACCUCCCUCCCAACACACAGCCUCCUGAGCUGAGCUCUGAUUCCUACCCGAUGGGAGAAUGAUCAGUUGGUGAGUCCAGUGGAGGAAAAGGAAAGACACAGCCUACUGAGAAGCAGGUAGUGUGGUUUUAGGAUCAGGCAAGGCGAAAAUGAAUGGAUGCCCACAUACCACAGCACAGUGCAGAUGGGACAAAAGUACCAGCCUUGGCAGCUCAGAUGAGGCUCUAUGAUCACCAAGGGCUGCUCUUGCAAAGCGUGGUCCUCAGUCCACGUCCUUGCUCUUUAAUCCUCAACCACCACAUGCAUCCUCCACGGGCCCAGUUUUGCACAAUGAAGUUCCAAAAUUUCGUCUAAAGAAUUACUUUCUCCCAAACACGCUUCUAUGUUUAAAUGAACUUAUAUUUAGAAAUAGACUUUUUCUUUCUUUUUAUCAGAAAUCAGAGUUCAAACUUCUAGCCUAGCAACUGGACAUAACUGCUCACAAUUACAUUUCAUUUAAAAAAGAAUAAAACGUAUCAUAUCAUACAGAAUAAAACGUAUCGUAUCAUACCUGUUUUGCUCUGUCCCUGGCUCCAAAACCUAACUAAGGACCCCGGCUGUAGAGGGGGAGUUUUGAGGGCUAUGCAGCGAGCUGGUGGCUGCAAGUGUCCCAGCCAUGCAACUUCAAGCACGGCUCAGUUUUCCCACCUGUAAAGUGGAGACGCUGGCCUCUGCCUGGGCUGCAGGAAGCAGGGCUUGAGGUCUGGGCCGGGCGGCUCUUGAGGGCCCACGGCAAAUGGAAGUUAAGGAACAUUAGCAUUGCUUUUUGAACAAUGUCAAAAGUUGCAUAAGGAGGGUAGCCGAGCUUAUCGAGGGGCCUGGUUUUGGCUUUCUGGAGCAAUCCUGUGCAGCAUUUCUGCAGCCGGAGAGGGAACACCCUUCCCACGGCCUCCGCCUCGCUUCAGUGCGGGGUGGUGACUCAGAGUGCUAGCAAGGGGCGUGGGCGGGAAACCACUUAGGCAUCACCAUGGAAUCUGACAGAUUUGCCCCCGUGGAGCUGCUCAGUAAAGAAAAGGGCAAGAGGGGCCCCAUCCCCUCCCGCAAGGGAGUGGGGCGCAAGGGAAGAGAUUCCAUCAGCGAAGCCCCCUCACUGCUGAUGUGGCUGGAAGCAGAGAGCCCAGGGCGUGAGCUGGCACAGGCUCCCAGGUGAGAGGUGAAUCCCACCUCGUGGGUGCUCCCCGCUCCCCGCAGGUUCAGAGACUCCUCUCACACUGAACAUCAGGAAGGUGAAGCUUUCGUUCUUUGACCCUGCCUGUUUGCUGGGCCCUCGACCAAGCCUUUCACAUGCUUUGCUUCAUCCCUUCCUCAGGACGACCUGUUCUUAUGCCCCUUUUACAAAUGAGGAAACUGAGGCUGGAAGCAGGUCACACCGCUGCCUGGCAGCGCUAGGAGUCCAACAAGAUCCGUUUCUGGUGCUCUGAAAAGCUUCGGGAAACCCACAAACCGGUGUCUGCAGGCACGAGAGGAGCAGGAGAAUGUUCCAGAGAUGGAACCACUGGGGUCACAACAGCUCAGGGUGGCCACGUUCAUUUGGGGCAGCCGCCAUUUUUAAAGGGCUUUCUACAUGUUGCCUCAUUUCCUCUUCACGACAGUUCUGGGAAGCAGGUAUUAAUAUUUACUGCAUGGGUGAGGAGGUGGAUUGGGAGUUGCUCCCCAAGGGCACCCAUCCACUCAGUGUCUUGACCAGCGUGCCUUCCAUGACCCUCAGCCUCCAGCUCCUCGUCUGUGCAAUGGGGACUUGAAAUCGCACCCUCUGAUGAUGUCAGGGUUAAAUGAGGUAACGGAAGGGAAAUGCUUUAGAAACUGCAAAAUGCCACCCGAAUACUAAGGAGUAUUAUUAUUUACUAAAAUAGCUUAGUGGGGAGAGUGCAAGUGAGGCUGAGAAUGACAAGGUUCUGGAUUCAGUCCCAGAUCCAGCAGGUGCUUAGGUGGUGGUGUUCUUCCCUGGCCUGGAAGCUCCCGAGAGCAGAAAUCAUAUCUGGUUGGCCUUGGUUUCCCCAGUUCCCAGCUGGAGGCAGAGCACAGAAUGAGUCCUUGAAAAAUCUUGGCUGAACCAUUCAGGAUGAACUCAGGACAGGGGAAGCGGGGGAAGGGAAGAAAAGGAGAUUCAAGGGCUGGAAGUGGCCUGAGGGCAAUCAAAAAGUGGAUCUUCCAGUUGGGGACACUUCUGAAAAUGAAAAGGACACUUUCAAUAGUCACAAUAAGCUGGGGCUGUCCUGGGCUAAGCAAGACAUAUGGUCACUCUAAGUGGGGGUCAUUUCACCUGAUCCCUACAUUGUGAGGGAAACCGAGUCCCAGUGUGGGGCACAGAGCCAGCUCACUCUGUCCUCACAGACCUGCUCUAAAAAAAGCUAGCACAGCAGCUACCAGCGGGUGGAGCUUGCUUUUGAGGGCCUGCAGCCCUCUGGAAGGAAUUGGGCGUUAUCCACAGAGCCCAAAGUUUCUGUUGGGUAAUUAUCAACACUUCUGGGCUGGUUACUAAGGGCCUAAGUGGUUGCUAAGUGGCCAUAUGACCUCAUGAGGGCUAUUGUUCAGUGCUCAAUAGGCAUCCUUGAGUGACAUUCCCCAACUCCCAAAUCCCAGAGGCCCCUGGGGUUCUGUGAAAAGAGGCAAGAGAUUAUAAGGAGCAGGAACAGUUGAGAGAACCAGUUUGUUUUCUAGGGUAGGACGUGGUGGGGAUGGGGGGCACGAGUCUUUUGGAGCAGAGUCAGGAAGCCUGGGGAGCCAGCAAGAGCCGUCAGCAGACACUACUGGUGGCAGAAACAGCCCAGGAACAGAGGACUAACCCAUACACAGUACCUGACCCUCUAACCCCUCUGAAGACACAGCAUCUCAGUGUGUUUCCAAAGCAGCUAUAUUUGGGGGGAGGUGUGUGUCAUAAUGAUCACUCCCUCUUCAAAAUAUAGGAAGCUGAGGCUCAAAGAAAAGCAGCUGCUGAAAGCCUCCCCCAAAUGUCUUGUUUGCCAAGUGUGGGGGGACAUGACGGUGGCCACCCAGAGAUACCUGUGUUCUAACCCCUGAGCCUGUGACUAUGUUAGGUUAUAUGGCACAGGGGAACAAAGGCGGCAGACAUCAAGGGUGCUCAGCAGGUGGCCUGAAGAUAGAGGAAGGGCCGGAAGCUAGAAAAGGCGGGGUAUCAGAUUCUCCACGGAAGCCUCCAGAAGGAGAGACUCACACCACACUCCUGGCCUAGAGAGCUCUUAGCUGGUAAAUUUAAGCUACUUGUGAGAGUUUGUUGCAGUAGUGACAGGAAAUGAAUCCGCCAAGAUUAGAAAUCUGCAAGGUCUGAGCCAGAAGGGGGGGCCUUGGUGGACAUUUCGCUCCUUGGACUUAAGGAAACAAGGGGCCCAGAGAAAUGAUUUGCUCAGGGUAACAGAGCAAGUGACAGAGAUCGCCACAGAGACCUUCAGAUGUGGUCAGACUUCCCCAAGGCCACUGUCCGCCAAGGGGCUGGAUCUUCUAGGGGACUUCUCUGCUGCUUCUCCCCCAACUGGCCUCUUUGGGACCCUGGCCCCCAAACCCCAUCCCCUCUGGCUGUCUUGGCCAGGGGCAGGUCAGUGGCCCGUUGUAUGACAGGCAGGAGGCGCCCUCUCCUGUGCUGCACCUGGAGCCAGUACUCAGUGCCCAUGGCCUUGGAGCCUGUUUCCUCAUUUGUAAAUGGGCACAGGAUGAAAGGACAAAGGGGAAGCUCAGGGUGCCACAUGCUAGGCCCAGGCCUUCCCUGGGUCCCCAAAGGCCACUACCUCUAAAGCCUCUGGCAUUCAAGAGCCUCAUUCCCAAAAGGAUGUCAUCUCUGCCUGGCAUGCAGAAGGCACUCAAUGAAUGCUUGUGGGAUGCACCAUAGGAUUGAUACCUGAAUGCUCCUCUGCCUUGUUUUGCCUAGAAAGCCCCUUAUGUGACUCUCAAGGUCUAGCUCACAUGCCCCCUCCUCCAGGCAGCCUUCGUUGACCCCAAGGGGUAAGGUCAUGCUGUCCUCAUUGUGUUGGGUUUCUGGCUUCCCGGUGGCACACUGGUUUUUGUGUUUAGGCUAAAGCCAGGCUAUCAGACACAUCUGGGCUUCAGUCUUGGCCUUGUCUGUGAGAUGUUGGGCCAGCUACAUCUCUUCUCUGAGCUUCGUCUCCUCUGUUCAAUGGGAGUGAUGACGGCAUGUCUACUGCUGGGUUGUGGGAGGGGCCCAUGAGGUACUGCAUGAGAAGGGGAAGAUUUAGUGCAGCUAUGGCAGUGAGUGGGCUUGCACUAAACAGCCAGUGACUUCAUUAGAAAGGUUAUCUUCUUAGUUGCCUUCUAGUGUAAAACCAAAGUGCCAGGGCAGGGGUGUGUUCGAUCACCUCUGACAGCCCCCCAGGAGCUGACUUCCCAGUGGUGGGGGAGACGGACAUGACACAAUCACCAUCCAUAAAAAUAGUAUGUGCCAGGUGGAGGUGUGGGUGUUGCCAUGAGUGACAGGGAACCUCUGCUUUGGAUAAGAGGCCAGAGAAGGAGUGGUGUUUAAGCCCCUACCAGAGUCUGGGAGCCAUGUGGGGAAAGCAUUCCUGGGGAGGGAACAGAAAGGGCAAAAUCCCUGAAGAGAAGAGUGUGUCUUGCAUGUCUGAGAAACAGCAAGGAGGCUACAUGGUGUGUGCUCAGGCAACAUAUGCAGAACUGACAGGUUACUACAUUAUUUAUAGGAUCUUAUUUAAAAAUUUAGUUAUGCUUAUUUAUUCUUUCCUAUUUUAUUAAUGAGAAAUGCCUAUUCAUUAAGCCUCUUCCAAGUAUUAGGUAAUUGAAUGGUCACAGUGACCUAUUGGGGUUGGUACGAUCAUCCCUCUUUUAAAAAUGUGCAAAACUAGGGAGUUCCCAUUGUGGCUCAGUGGUAAUGAAUCCUACUAGUAUCCAUGAGGAUGCUGGUUUGAUCCCUGGCCUCACUCAGUGGGUUAAAGAUCCGGCAUUGUUGGCGUUUCCAUCAUGGCUCAGUGGAAAUGAACCUGACUAGGAUCCAUGAGGAUGCAGGUUUGAUCCCUGGCCUUGCUCAGUGGGUUAAGGAUCCGGUAUUGCCGUGAGCUGUGGUGUAGGUCACAGACAUGGCUUGGAUAUGGCAUUGCUGUGGCACUGGUGUAGGCCAGCAGCUACAUCUCUGAGCCUGGGAAACUCCAUAUGCCAUGGGUACAGCCCUAAGACCAAAAAAAAAAAAAAAAAAAAAAAAAAA